AACGAACGCUGGCGGCAGGCUUAACACAUGCAAGUCGAAGGAGAAGCAGGGCUUCGGCCCUGUGGACACUGGCGGACGGGUGAGUAACGCGUGGGAACCUGCCCUGGGUGGGGGACAACCGCUGGAAACGGCGGCUAAUACCGCAUACGCCCUUCGGGGGAAAGCUUUAUGUGCCCUGGGAUGGUCCCGCGUCGGAUUAGCUUGUUGGUAGGGUAACGGCCUACCAAGGCAACGAUCCGUAGCUGGUCUUAGAGGAUGAUCAGCCACACUGGGACUGAGACACGGCCCAGACUCCUACGGGAGGCAGCAGUGGGGAAUAUUGGACAAUGGGCGAAAGCCUGAUCCAGCCAUGCCGCGUGAGUGACGAAGGCCUUAGGGUUGUAAACUCUUUUGGCGGGGACGAUAAUGACGGUACCCGCAGAAUAAGCCCCGGCUAACUUCGUG
rnacentral:rRNA from 1 species